AGCAAAGUUCUCAACUUCUUAUACUCUAGUGAAAUCAAAUUGUUGAGAUGAGGAAAGAUAGGCCAGCUGUUGCAAGUUCAAGUAAAAUAAGAUUCGAUGACUCUGAUGAACAUGAAUCUUCAUCUGAAGAUGAGGAGGAGAAGGGGAUUGAGGAGGAGCUUGCUGAUGUGACCUUUGAAGAAUUGCAGAGAGCACGGUCUGAUGGAUCAGCUACAGUGUAUAGGAAGCUUAAUUCGGAAGGAAAAAGUAGCCGAGCUAACAAGAACAGGCCAAUGGAAAUGAGUAGCAAAAAACCAGUAAGCCGAUUUAGGGAAAUAAUCCAAGUUCCUAAAAGGGCCACUCAUGACCCUCGCUUUGAGUCUUUAAAUGGCCAGGUAGAUGAAGAAGGGUUCAAAAAGAGAUACAAUUUCCUUUAUGAGGAUAAUCUUCCAGCAGAAAAAGAGGAUCUGAAGAAACAGAUGAGGAAAUCAAAUGACCCAGAAGAGAGAAAUGAACUGAAAAGUCGUGUUUCUUGGAUUGACAAACAAUUGAAAUCGGCAGGAGUGAAGCACACUGAGAAAGAGAUUCUGGCAGAGCACAAGAAGAAAGAGAGGGAAGCUGCUAAGCAAGGAAAACGACCUUAUUAUCUCAAAAAAUCUGAAAUUCAGAAACUCAAACUUAUUGAGAAAUACAAGUCACUCAAAGAAGCUGGCAAACUGGAAUCAUAUAUUGAGAAGAAAAGGCGCAAGAAUGCUGCGAAAGACCACAGAUUCUUGCCAUAUCGGCGCCCUGGUGAGCAAGAAAACUAGUGAAAUGACAUGUUUGUAUGCUGUAGCAAAUUUGUUUGCUUUGUUUUUCUCCUCACAAAGAUGUAGAGAGCUUGCUUUUUAAGCAUGACCAUGUGCCUUUUCUUUUGUUAUCGUUCAGCUGAUUUCUAUGAACUUAUAGUGGCUAUACUAGCUGUAUUCAGAGCUUG
rnacentral:misc_RNA from 1 species